GGAAGCCCUAAAAUGAUAGUCGUAAGUUUCGGUCGGGCGGGGAGAGAUGGCGCGGCGGGGAAAAUCGAGCGGCCCGCCGGGAUCUGCUGCGCUGCCGCCGAAAGAUCUUGCUGCGCUCGACCGAUCUGCUCCAGCUCCGCGCAGUGAUCUUGCUACGCCUGGCCUGCCUGCACCAGAAUCUGAGCCAGAGAAUGGACAAGGAUCCGCACUGCCGCACUCAAUCAAUCUAGUAGAUUUUACCUUUGGUAACACACGUUUUCGGGAUUUCACAGCUCGACUCACGCCGAAGGAAGUGAGAGAAGAUCUUCUCAGAUUUGCGGUUCAGAUGGAGAGAAAAUCACACCGGGGAGUUGACAUCUCGACCUGUGCCUUGCGGCUACUGGAAUUUCACGUUGAGACGUCUAAGGACAUCCCAGCUCCACUGAGCGAGUGAAUUUUGGCGAGCCUGGGAUAUCUCAGUGCAUACGAUGUACGGCUGCAGCGAAAUGUGCAUUUGGAGGAAGAAAAUGGUGUUGAGCUGUACUUGAAGCUGAUCAAGAAAGCAAUGGCACUCCUCCCAGAGAAUGAGGAAGCAAGAACGGCUUUGAAGGAAAGCGUGAUGCGCAUUGUGGGAGUGGAAGUGGAAGAGGAAGAGAAACCAGAACUGGAACUGGAAGAAGAAGAGGGAAGAGGAGGAAGCGGAAAACGCUACCUCUGAGUACUACAGUGCAGAAUAAAAAUGUCGGCGAUUGACUAGAAAUAAAAAUAAGCAGAGGCUUUCACGGAAGAAGUUCGUUGAUCCAGGAAUGCUUCUCGUGGAGCCUUGUGUUCUGGCUAAACUUCCCGGUCUUAUGUCGUACGACCAUUUUACGUCUCAGAAAUGAAUAUCUCGGUUCUUUUCGUCUUUA